ACGCUGGCGGCAUGCUUUACACAUGCAAGUCGAACGGCAGCACGGGGGCAACCCUGGUGGCGAGUGGCGAACGGGUGAGUAAUAUAUCGGAACGUACCCAAGAGUGGGGGAUAACGUAGCGAAAGUUACGCUAAUACCGCAUACGAUCUCAGGAUGAAAGUGGGGGACCGCAAGGCCUCACGCUCCUGGAGCGGCCGAUAUCUGAUUAGCUAGUAGGUAGGGUAAAGGCCUACCUAGGCGACGAUCAGUAGCUAGUCUGAGAGGACGACCAGCCACACUGGAACUGAGACACGGUCCAGACUCCUACGGGAGGCAGCAGUGGGGAAUUUUGGACAAUGGGGGCAACCCUGAUCCAGCAAUGCCGCGUGAGUGAAGAAGGCCUUCGGGUUGUAAAGCUCUUUUGUCAGGGAAGAAACGGGUUCGGAUAAUACCUGGGCCUAAUGACGGUACCUGAAGAAUAAGCACCGGCUAACUACGUGCCAGCAGCCGCGGUAAUACGUAGGGUGCAAGCGUUAAUCGGAAUUACUGGGCGUAAAGCGUGCGCAGGCGGUUUUAUAAGUUUGUCGUGAAAGCCCCGGGCUCAACCUGGGAAUGGCGAUGAAGACUGUAAGGCUAGAGUGUGUCAGAGGGGGGUAGAAUUCCACGUGUAGCAGUGAAAUGCGUAGAUAUGUGGAGGAACACCGAUGGCGAAGGCAGCCCCCUGGGAUAACACUGACGCUCAUGCACGAAAGCGUGGGGAGC
rnacentral:rRNA from 1 species